UGUCUAGAGUGGAAAGACUCAAGAUGG
rnacentral:piRNA from 1 species